AUUGAACGCUGGCGGCAGGCCUAACACAUGCAAGUCGAGCGGUAGCACAGAGAGCUUGCUCUCGGGUGACGAGCGGCGGACGGGUGAGUAAUGUCUGGGAAACUGCCUGAUGGAGGGGGAUAACUACUGGAAACGGUAGCUAAUACCGCAUAAUGUCGCAAGACCAAAGAGGGGGACCUUCGGGCCUCUUGCCAUCAGAUGUGCCCAGAUGGGAUUAGCUAGUAGGUGGGGUAAUGGCUCACCUAGGCGACGAUCCCUAGCUGGUCUGAGAGGAUGACCAGCCAACCUGGAACUGAGACACGGUACAGACUCCUACGGGAGGCAGCAGUGGGGAAUAUUGCACAAUGGGCGCAAGCCUGAUGCAGCCAUGCCGCGUGUGUGAAGAAGGCCUUCGGGUUGUAAAGCACUUUCAGCGAGGAGGAAGGCAUUAAGGUUAAUAACCUUAGUGAUUGACGUUACUCGCAGAAGAAGCACCGGCUAACUCCGUGCCAGCCGCCGCCGUAA
rnacentral:rRNA from 1 species